AGUGAACGCUGGCGGUAGGCCUAACACAUGCAAGUCGAACGGCAGCACAGUAAGAGCUUGCUCUUACGGGUGGCGAGUGGCGGACGGGUGAGGAAUACAUCGGAAUCUACUUUUUCGUGGGGGAUAACGUAGGGAAACUUACGCUAAUACCUCAUACUACCUACGGGUGAAAUCAGGGGAUCUUCGGACCUUGCGCUAUUGAAUGAGCCGAUGUCGGAUUAGCUAGUUGGCGGGGUAAAGGCCCACCAAGGCGACGAUCCGUAGCUGGUCUGAGAGGAUGAUCAGCCACACUGGAACUGAGACACGGUCCAGACUCCUACGGGAGGCAGCAGUAGGGAAUAUUGGACAAUGGGCGCAAGCCUGAUCCAGCCAUACCGCGUGGGUGAAGAAGGCCUUCGGGUUGUAAAGCCCUUUUGUUGGGAAAGAAAAGCAGCAGGUUAAUACCCCGCUGUUCUGACGGUACCCAAAGAAUAAGCACCGGCUAACUUCGUG
rnacentral:rRNA from 1 species